rnacentral:rRNA from 1 species
AGAGUUUGAUCCUGGCUCAGAUUGAACGCUGGCGGCAUGCCUAACACAUGCAAGUCGAACGGUAACAGGUCUUCGGAUGCUGACGAGUGGCGGACGGGUGAGUAACGCGUAGGAAUCUGUCUUUGAGUGGGGGACAACCCAGGGAAACUUGGGCUAAUACCGCAUAAGCCCUGAGGGGGAAAGCGGGGGAUCUUCGGACCUCGCGCUGGAAGAGGAGCCUACGUCUGAUUAGCUAGUUGGUAGGGUAAAGGCCUACCAAGGCGACGAUCGGUAGCUGGUCUGAGAGGACGACCAGCCACACUGGGACUGAGACACGGCCCAGACUCCUACGGGAGGCAGCAGUGGGGAAUUUUUCGCAAUGGGGGCAACCCUGACGAAGCAAUGCCGCGUGAAUGAAGAAGGCCUUCGGGUUGUAAAGUUCUUUCGUGGAGGACGAAAAGGUAGGUGCUAAUAUCGCCUGCUGUUGACGUGAAUCCAAGAAGAAGCACCGGCUAACUCCGUGCCAGCAGCCGCGGUAAUACGGGGGGUGCAAGCGUUAAUCGGAAUCACUGGGCGUAAAGGGUGCGUAGGCGGUGCAUUAGGUCUGUCGUGAAAUCCUCGGGCUCAACCUGGGAAUGGCGGUGGAAACCGGCGUACUAGAGUAUGGGAGAGGGUGGUGGAAUUUCCAGGUGUAGCGGUGAAAUGCGUAGAGAUCUGGAGGAACAUCAGUGGCGAAGGCGGCCACCUGGCCCAAUACUGACGCUGA